rnacentral:tmRNA from 1 species
CGGAACGAACGGCGAAGCGAAAUAUACCGACUACGCUCGUAGAUGCUUAAGUGGCGAUGCCUCUGGACGUGGGUUCGACUCCCACCGUCUCCAUUUCCAACAUGUUGCUGUUUCGGAUGAAGAAUGGUGAACUGCUUGAUGCGACCGUGUUUGCGGUCGUUUUUGCUUUUUCAAGAAUCCGAAAGAAGCCAGCGAAUGGGCGAAAAUUUUGCGAGGAUUUUGCACCGUGUUUUUUGCCUUGCAUUGUAUACGAGUUCGACAGUGACCAAGUAAACAAAAUGCCUCUCAUCCCUUGAUGCCAAAGGGACGAGAGGCAUUUGGGCAUCCUUCCAGCCUGUAUCUAGGAGGCUGGUGAUUUAGUGCAAAAACGACGGAUUCCACUCAUUUCUCAAUUAGAAAAACCUUGCAGAAUCCGCUUUCUCUUCUGAAUGAAAAUGCCGCCGACCUGGAGUUGACAGUGGUUUUUCACCGGCCUUCUAGGAGGCUGGUGAUUUAAUCGUGGAUACCGCUUUACAAUGUUAUUUCUCAUUUAGAAAAGCCUUGUUACAUCGGUCCUGCUUUUCGCUCAUUCUCCCAUUGAUGGAAAGGAAUCAGCGGUUUUUCACCGGCCUUCUAGGGGCGAGGAUGGAUGCCUACAAUCUUCGGAGGCGGCCUCAGCUCUAGCUCCGCCAAGAGCUGCACUUGUCCUAACCAAGGAAUCGAGUCCAUGUCGCCUUUUUGGUUUGUCUGUGAAUUUAUGUUAGGGAAUUUGUCG